GACGAACGCUGGCGGCGUGCUUAACACAUGCAAGUGGAGCGACGAACCAGGGCUUGCCCUGGGGCAAAGCCGCGAACGGGUGAGUAACACGUGGGUAACCUGCCCCGACGACUGGGACAACCCGAGGAAACUCGGGCUAAUACCGGAUAAAUUCACCGCUCAUAAGUGCGGUGAUUAAAGGAGGCUUCGGCUUCCGCAUCGGGAGGGGCCCGCGGCCCAUUAGCUUGUUGGUGGGGUGAUGGCCACCAAGGCGACGACGGGUAGCCGGCCUGAGAGGGCGACCGGCCACACUGGGACUGAGACACGGCCCAGACUCCUACGGGAGGCAGCAGUGGGGAAUCUUGCGCAAUGGGCGAAAGCCUGACGCAGCGACGCCGCGUGAGGGAUGACGGCCU
rnacentral:rRNA from 1 species